GGCAGUUACAACAGACCUAUUUGUAAAAGUGGGCACGAAUUGCACUUACAGGUUUUGUAUUAACCUGUAUUUUCUCAAAUUGAUAAAAGCUCUGUCUUUGAAGUCUGAACUUUGAAUAAUGUGAGCAGAGGCUGCAGAUUUUUAUGGCAUGUGUAUUAGUCCUGAUCUAAGGCACAGACCAAUCUAGCAUGGACUGAUGUGGAAUUGUAUGAGGACAGCAUCUGAAUACAGAAGACAAUUAUGUAUUGCAUACAAUUCGAAUGAUGACAGAAAAAGAAACCUCAGUCGCUUUACUUUUUUUAAGGCCGCCAAAGAUGUAGACUUUUGCCAAUGUCAUUGUGGGGUAAUAUUGACAACAGAAGACUCAGACUCAUCAGCUGUGUAUAUUUUUUGCUAUAGACAUUUGAUUUUCAAUGUCAUUGUUUAAUAAAAUAUGCAUAAGUCAUCACAAAGUAUUGCUUUAUUUCUUCUCAGAUGCCUCUUAUUUUCUAAAGCUGCAAGUUAAAAGAAACCUUCCAUAUGUUUUUAGGGUUAUAGAGUUGAACCGAUGGGCCUCAAGUGAAAGGAAGAUCACGAAAGUUGUGCCUAGAAAAGUUAUUCGUCAACGAGCACAGUUUGGAUGGAAGUGGCUGAUGAGGCCUGCCUUAGAAGAACUCCUGAAGGAAGCACUAAACUGGAAAGGAACAACUGGUACCUACCACUGCAAAAAUAUGCCAAAUCAUAAAGAUCAUUGA
rnacentral:lncRNA from 1 species